rnacentral:snRNA from 1 species
AAACUUACCUGGCUGGGAGGCUUUCGCGAUCACGAAGGCGGAACCUUCAUGGCGAGGCUUGGUCAUUGCACUUUCGACCAGGCUGACCCGUGUGGCAGUCCCGAGUUGGGAUUGGCCAACAGCAUAAUUUUUGCGUUUGGGGACAGCGUCCGCGCUUCCCCGC